GGAAGUAACAAUGCCUUUUAUGAUCUAGUCUCUGUAUUCACACAUGAUCACUUCUUCUUUAUUCUAUUGGUCAUACAAACCAAUCCAGACACACAGGGACUAACAAGGAUAUGAACACCAGCAGAUGAAGAUCAUCAGUACCAUCUUGGAGGCUGGCUACCACAACAGUUAAAGAACUCCCUUUAGCAUUUCUCGUAGGACAGGUCUGGUGUUAAUGAAAUCCCUCAGCUUUUGUUUGUCUGGAAAAGUGUGUCUCCUUCAUGUUUAAAGGAUAUUUUAGCUGGAUAUACUACUCUAAGCAACCCAGUGAUUCCAUGGAAAGCAGAAAGAAGGACAUAAAGAAACGGAUACUUGGUGACAUCUUUGACUCACUGGAUCAAACCUUGCCUGAAGCUCACAUUUCUGAAAUUUCCAGAUACAAGAACAAAUACUUCCUCUUUAUUGUUUUACUAGAUUUGAGACAAGCUUUAAGUUUCUCAGACUCUUCCUCUUCCUAACAGAUUUAUCAGAAGCUGAAAGCUCUGAUCUUGUUGGGAUGCGGAUCGUGUCAGGAGAAGGCUUACUUUGCACGCUUUUCUUAGUCUGGUUGCCUAACUCAAGAACCUCGGCAUGGCUCUGUUACUUCUCUACUCAGACAAGCAUCCCUGCAGACACUCACUAGGCUAACUCUGUCUUUAUUUUUAGAAUUAGACCUUUACGAGAAGCACAGUUUUGUCUUCAGUUUCCUCUCCCCCCACCCGGAAUGGCCUGAGCCGAAGCCAGCUCCCUCCGAGAAGUCAUUACCGCCUGACUUGCGUUUGAUAUUUAGACACCUUGGUCACAACAUCUUGCAUUCUCUCGGGAUGCUGAUUUCUAACUGCUCUUUGGCCUUUCCUGCAUUGGUCCUCCUCAGGCAGGGGAUCCCUGCUCUUCUAUAUUAGUGAGAAAACCAAGGCUCAGAGAAACUGUGGAUUUUCUAAGGUUUCUUGAGGGCAGAGAGCAUGUUGCAGUCACCUCUGAACCUCCUUCUGCUGAAAGCAACCUACACAUGCUGGCUCCCCGUCCCCUGUCCACC
rnacentral:lncRNA from 1 species